rnacentral:rRNA from 1 species
AUUGAACGCUGGCGGCAGGCCUAACACAUGCAAGUCGAACGGUAACAGGAAACAGCUUGCUGUUUCGCUGACGAGUGGCGGACGGGUGAGUAAUGUCUGGGAAACUGCCUGAUGGAGGGGGAUAACUACUGGAAACGGUAGCUAAUACCGCAUAACGUCGCAAGACCAAAGAGGGGGACCCUCGGGCCUCUUGCCAUCGGAUGUGCCCAGAUGGGAUUAGCUUGUUGGUGGGGUAACGGCUCACCAAGGCGACGAUCCCUAGCUGGUCUGAGAGGAUGACCAGCCACACUGGAACUGAGACACGGUCCAGACUCCUACGGGAGGCAGCAGUGGGGAAUAUUGCACAAUGGGCGCAAGCCUGAUGCAGCCAUGCCGCGUGUAUGAAGAAGGCCUUCGGGUUGUAAAGUACUUUCAGCGGGGAGGAAGGGAGUAAAGUUAAUACCUUUGCUUAUUGACGUUACCCGCAGAAGAAGCACCGGCUAACUCCGU